rnacentral:rRNA from 1 species
AACGAACGCUGGCGGCAUGCCUAACACAUGCGAGUCGAACGAGCCCUUCGGGUCUAGUGGCGCACGGGUGCGUAACGCGUGGGAACCUGCCCUUAGGUUCGGACUAACUCCCCGAAAGGGGUGCUAAUACCGGAUAAUGUCUUCGGACCAAUGAUUUAUCGCCUUUGGAUGGGCCCGCGUUGGAUUAGCUUGUUGGUAGGGUAAAAGCCUACCAAGGCGACGAUCCAUAGCUGGUCUGAGAGGCUGAUCAGCCACACUGAGACGAGGACACGGCCCGGACUCCUACGGAAGGGAGGAGUGGCGAAUAUUGGACAGUGGGGGAAAGCCUGAUCCAGCACUGACGCGUGAGUGAUGUAAGCAGUAGGGUUGAAAAGCUCUUUUACCUGGGAUGGUAAUGACGGUACCGAGUGAGUAAGCUCCGGCUAACUCCGUG